CACUACCCAAGUAGGCAAGACAGAUUUUUAUUUGCAUUCAUCGAGACAAUGCGUGUGCUUUAAAAUUUCCAUACCUCUACCACUGCUUGUGAACUGUGAAGUGUCUGGAAGCUCAAGCGGUCACGUUAUAUGCCCAGCUUUGCGCACAGCGUGUGGAAUGAACUCUCUAAAGCUUUUACAGACGAAGGAUCAUUUUUCAAAUGCCAUGUACAUUUGAAACAUGUGCAGCAAAUGUCCGCUCAAAAAGCAGAGAUCAGCAGGAAAUGGCAUUCUGCACUUAGAGACAGAUAAAGGGACUGAAGAAGAACAAACUCUCAUACAUGAGCUUCACUUCUAGGAAUCACGUUAGGUUCAGAAAGGUACUCUCCUAGGUUUGAAUGAUUCAAGCUUCUGAAAGAAAUUGGACUAUUCAUCUGUUACAGCCCAGAAGUAGAAAUAGAGCCAUCACACUAGAAACAGGAGCAUUAAUAUAUCAUCUUCAAGAAAGCAAGUAACGACUAACAAAGGAGGAAAGGGUCAAAACGCAUACUGAAAUGUUGUACCUCACUAUC